rnacentral:rRNA from 1 species
GACGAACGCUGGCGGCGUGCUUAACACAUGCAAGUCGAACGGAAAGGCCCUGCUUUUGUGGGGUGCUCGAGUGGCGAACGGGUGAGUAACACGUGAGUAACCUGCCCUUGACUUUGGGAUAACUUCAGGAAACUGGGGCUAAUACCGGAUAGGAGCUCCUGCUGCAUGGUGGGGGUUGGAAAGUUUCGGCGGUUGGGGAUGGACUCGCGGCUUAUCAGCUUGUUGGUGGGGUAGUGGCUUACCAAGGCCUUGACGGGUAGCCGGCCUGAGAGGGUGACCGGCCACAUUGGGACUGAGAUACGGCCCAGACUCCUACGGGAGGCAGCAGUGGGGAAUAUUGCUCAAUGGGCGGAAGCCUGAUGCAGCAACGCCGCGUGCGGGAUGACGGCCUUCGGGUUGUAAACCGCUUUCGCCUGUGACGAAGCGUGAGUGACGGUAAUGGGUAAAGAAGCACCGGCUAACUACGUG